rnacentral:ribozyme from 2 species
AAUUUAACCUCGCCUUAUUAUUUAAGAUAAUAUGCUGGUGACAAGCCCAGAUAAAGAGGGAGUCAAAU